AGCAGCCGCGGUAAUUCCAGCUCCAAUAGCGUAUAUUAAAGUUGUUGCAGUUAAAAAGCUCGUAGUUGAAUUUCGGGAUCAGUUGGUCGGUCGUGCCUCGGUACGUACUGGUCAAAUUGAUUCCUACCUUCUGACGAACCACGAUGUCAUUAAUUUGGUGUCGCGGGAAAUCAGGACUGUUACUUUGAAAAAAUUAGAGUGUUUAAAGCAGGCUCGCGCUUGAAUACAUUAACAUGGAAUAAUGAAAUAGGACGUUUGAUUCUAUUUUGUUGGUUUCUAGGAUCGACGUAAUGAUUAAUAGGGAUAGUUGGGGGCAUUAGUAUUCAAUUGUCAGAGGUGAAAUUCUUGGAUUUAUUGAAGACUAACUACUGCGAAAGCAUUUGCCAAGGAUGUUUUCAUUAAUCAAGAACGAAAGUUAGGGGAUCGAAGACGAUCAGAUACCGUCGUAGUCUUAACCAUAAACUAUGCCGACUAGGGAUCGGAUGAUGUUAAUUUUUUAAUGACUCAUUCGGCGCCUUAA
rnacentral:rRNA from 1 species